CACACACACACACACACACACAUAUAUAUAUAUACAGUAUAUAAGUUACACUGGCUAAGAACCAAACUUGUCACCAAAGGCUGUUAGGCCACAUGAUUUGCAGCGAGACAGAGGACCUUGGAAAAAAAAGAGACCGACAGGUACGGCAAGCAGACUUUUCAGUGGCAUUGGUGCUUCACACUUGCGCAAAGGGAAAGCCGACACCAAAAGAAACCAUUUGCAAUAGACCGGCAGCCGAAGUCAAACAUGAAGCGUGGAAGGAGGUAUACAAUAGACAGACUGAGGUUUCAGAUGGGAACAUGAAAGAAAACCAAACAAAAGGUGAGGAAAACAGUGAAGAAAACCAGCAGGGUGAAAGAGGCGCAGGAGAAUUUUCUGAAAGAGAAGCUGCUAGCAGAAGGAGCGGGGCAUCCAGGGACCAUAGGGGGUGUGAGGAGAAACCAUGAAACACAACACCUCAGUCAGAAAGGCUUUGUUGGUGUGUAGCUUCUGUGCUGCUAGUGUUUCCUCCUGCGGGCUGACGUCCCAAUUUGCGGACAGAAAUAAAUGCAACUCCCUGUUUGAUCGAUAUAUGAUGUCGGGUGAAUUCAUGUCAUGUUUGUACAGGGCUCAUUUUUAAAAGCUAAUCUUCAGUACUAACGGUAAGUAUGUUUUUUUUCGCCUGACCCUGUAUUUUACAUAACUGGUUUCCAGGCCACUGAAUAGAUAUAUUUAAAAGCAGAUCUGGGAGAAAAAAACGCUUAGCGGCAACAUUUAGGCCUUGUAUGUUGCCAACGACUUGUCAGCCUACACUGGACUUACUGCAGCUUCAGGCAGAAGUGCACAUCACGCAAGUGAAAAGCACUCAAGUUCCAAGUCCGAAUCGUGAGGAAGUCUGUCACGCCAAAAUUUUCUGCCCUAAACAGACAGAUUUGCAUACAGGCCUCUGUCUUCAAGUAGGAGUGAAAAGCAUAGCCAAGGAUCCACCAUUUGCCUUGACUGAAAAAAAAAAAAAGCAGCAUGGAUCAUUUCUAAGGCCCUUAUUUAUUCAACGCGAGGGAUAAUGGUCACAGCUGUCCCCAUUAAUGUCAUGUCUUUAAAGAUCAGUGUUCAUACCAAGCAUAUUUCUGAAGGCAGGCAAUGAAUUAAGUCUGUUCAUUACCAGUCUAUAUAAUCAUUUCCACAGCAAAAGGAGCGGUGUAUUUUUCGAUCGUUGUCCCGCCGUCUGUUAGCAGCAGCCUGAAAAACGUACCGGUAAAUGUUGCCACACAAACUUUUUUGAGAUUCCAUGAAAUUGUGUUUCAUUUGUAAUUUGGACAAGAUCGGCAUCCGUCAUCUCGCAGGAGGAUGAUGUGGAACUCUUUUUGGACGCUUAGAAAAACGGUCACAAACCCUCCUGUCAUUCAAAACAACACUUUUGGGAGAAACGUAAACCCUGCCAACAUAACGGAAAAAAAAAACCUCUUCUUUGCAUACACAGUGUGCGUUCAGCCGGCCGGACCAGAACAUUCAGUUCCCAGUCCGGUCACAUUGCUAAGACAUCCUGUUGGUUCUCACUCAGAUCUGAGCGAUCUUGUUGUCAAUGGAGCUGCAGCCACAGCAGAGCAGUUGGCUUUCAGUCAUGUUUGUUACCUCACGAGGUCAGUACAUCAGAGCGGAAGAGCAGCUUGUGAGGGACUGUGCCAAUGGACGGCGAUAAUGUUUUACUCUCUGUCAUAACCAAAGAUUAAUUUGGUCAGAAGCGAUUGGGAGCUUUGGACUUGGACAAAUACAUCCAAACAUGGUCGUUUCAGUCAAAGACUUUUUCUGACUGAAGACAUCAGUUAGUAGCAAGCCUUGCACUGUGAGUAUUUGUUUGUCGAGCCAGUGUGUGUGUGUGUGCGUGUGUGUGUUUGUGUGUGUGUGUGUGUCUAUUGUGAGCAUGGCGAGUGAGCGUCCUUCAAUGUGGUAAGGGCACAUUGGCUUUUUAGAGUCCUCAAUGUCAGACUGACAUUCUCUCUUCCAAUGUUUUCCCUCACCAUCCCUUGUUACUUUCCUCCCUGUGGUCCCUAUUUCACCACGUCUCUGCAAUUAUUUUCCUCUUUCCUCUCACCACAGCUUUGUUUUUUUUUUUUUUUUUUUUUUUUUUUUUUUUUUUAAACUCUUUCGUUUCUUUCAUUGCGGCUUGUUCACCUUCCCUGCAGGGAUAGGGGAGCCAACAAGGCCCUCCUCACAGCAGCAAUGAUAAUUGCUUUCUGGUCACUGUGACAUGACAGGGUUCUUGAGGAAGCCUGAAGGUUAUGUGCUCACACUGACUUGUGUUUGGAACUGUUCAUAAUUCCCUCCAGCUUGACUAAAACCCCAGUUCCAGCUGAAGAAAAACAGCCCUAAAUCAUGGUAAGAUUUGGACAUAACUACAACAUUGUAUUCAUCUGACCAGAAUAAUUUUGCCACAUGUGUUUGGAAGAUUUCAAUUAAUACAGUUUGUCGUUCCAACUUAAAACUACCAUGCAAAGCGAAAGCCAUAUAUCAACAAUACCCGGAAAUGCCGCCAACUUCUUUGUCAUCUGAGAUCGAGUGACACAAACUGGAAAAGUCUGCUGUGGUCUGUUGACUCCAGAUCCUUCAAUGUUUUUGGAAAUUAUGGACGUCAUGUCCUCCGGGCUGAAGAGAAAUUGGAACAUCCGCGUUCAAUAACCCAUUUAGGGGCCAUGCCUCUGAUAAGAAGCACAUCUGUGAUGGCACCAUGAAAAGUACAUUCAGGUUUUGGAGCAUCAUACGUGUCAUUUGUUUAUUUUGUUUGUUUAGAUUACUUUUUAGGUUUGUUUCUUGUUAGGACUUCUUUUCUUAUGUCCUGUCUUUCUCGUUAGGUCUUUUGUUUCCACCUGUGCUUGUCAACCUGCUGCCCUGUGUCAUCCAAUCAGCUCCCUCGGCCACUCGUGACUUGUCAAGGUGUUCCUCGUUGUGUCAUCAAUUGGCUUGUAUUUAGUUUCCUCAUGUCUUUCACUCUUUGUAGCUGUCACAUUGUUUUGUUACUUCUCAUGGUGUGUUUUGUUCCCUGGUGUUUCAUUGAUCG